rnacentral:rRNA from 1 species
GCAACAACCUAGCCCAACCAACAAACAAACUCAAAAAAUAACACUAAUCCUUCUAAACUAAACUAAAACAUUUUACCAUCCUAGUAUAGGUGAUAGAAAAGAA